rnacentral:rRNA from 1 species
GACGAACGCUGGCGGCGUGCCUAAUACAUGCAAGUAGAACGCACAGUUUAUAUCGUAGCUUGCUACACCAUAGACUGUGAGUUGCGAACGGGUGAGUAACGCGUAGGUAACCUGCCUGGUAGCGGGGGAUAACUAUUGGAAACGAUAGCUAAUACCGCAUAAUAUUGAUUAUUGCAUGAUAAUUGAUUGAAAGAUGCUAUUGCAUCACUACCAGAUGGACCUGCGUUGUAUUAGCUAGUAGGUGAGGUAACGGCUCACCUAGGCGACGAUACAUAGCCGACCUGAGAGGGUGAUCGGCCACACUGGGACUGAGACACGGCCCAGACUCCUACGGGAGGCAGCAGUAGGGAAUCUUCGGCAAUGGACGAAAGUCUGACCGAGCAACGCCGCGUGAGUGAAGAAGGUUUUCGGAUCGUAAAGCUCUGUUGUAAGAGAAGAACGGGUGUGAGAGUGGAAAGUUCACACUGUGACGGUAUCUUACCAGAAAGGGACGGCUAACUACGUG